AAUGAUGGUUUUGUCGCUUUUCAUUAUAGGUCUUAUGGGACUUUUUUAUGAACACAAUAAAAAACUCUAUGACUUCUACAGAAAAAAUCAUAGAGUU
rnacentral:ncRNA from 1 species